rnacentral:misc_RNA from 1 species
CUCUUCUUCCUUUUGAGCUUCAUUUUUUCCAUUUCUCUGUACUAUAGAACCUUUUUCUUCAUCUUUUGCUCUCUUGAUUUGGGGUGUUGCACUUGUUUGUGAAGAGAGAGAGAGAGAGAAAUGGCAGGAGGUGGAGGAGGAGGAGCAGCUCCAGCAGCAAAGGCAAGUGAACCAGUGCCACAUCCACCAAAAGAUCAGCUUCCUAAUGUUUCUUACUGCAUUACUAGUCCUCCCCCAUGGCCUGAAGCUAUUCUUCUUGGAUUUCAGCAUUAUCUUGUUAUGCUUGGUACCAUUGUUAUCAUUCCUACAGCUCUAGUUCCCCAAAUGGGAGGUGGAAA